ACGGGAGGCAGCAGUGGGGAAUAUUGGUCAAUGGGCGUAAGCCUGAACCAGCCAAGUAGCGUGAGGGAUGACUGCCCUACGGGUUGUAAACCUCUUUUGUUUGGGGAUAAAGUAAACUACGUGUAGUCUUUUGCAUGUACCUUUCGAAUAAGCAUCGGCUAAUUCCGUGCCAGCAGCCGCGGUAAUCCGGAAGAUGCGAGCGUUAUCCGGAUUUAUUGGGUUUAAAGGGAGCGUAGGCGGCCUGUUAAGUCUGCGGUCAAAUGUCAGGGCCCAACCUCGGCAUGCCGUGGAUACUGGCGGGCUUGAGUGCGAACAAGGAAGGUGGAAUUCGUCGUGUAGCGGUGAAAUGCUUAGAUAUGACGAAGAACUCCGAUUGCGAAGGCAGCCUUCUGGGGUGUUACUGACGCUGAGGCUCGAAAGUGCGGGAAUCAAACAGGAUUAGAUACCCUGGUA
rnacentral:rRNA from 1 species